UACGGAGGGUGCUAGCGUUGUUCGGAAUCACUGGGCGUAAAGGGCGUGUAGGCGGUCUGUUAAGUCUGAUGUGAAAUCCCCUCGCUCAACGAGGGAACUGCGUCGGAUACUGGCAGACUUGAGUACCGGAGAGGAAGGUGGAAUUCCCGGUGUAGCGGUGAAAUGCGUAGAUAUCUGGAGGAACACCGGUGGCGAAGGCGACAUCCUGGACCGGUAUUGACGCUGAGGCGCGAAAGCCAGGGGAGCAAACGGG
rnacentral:rRNA from 1 species